AGUGAACGCUGGCGGUAGGCCUAACACAUGCAAGUCGAACGGCAGCACAGUAAGAGCUUGCUCUUACGGGUGGCGAGUGGCGGACGGGUGAGGAAUACAUCGGAAUCUACUUUUUCGUGGGGGAUAACGUAGGGAAACUUACGCUAAUACCGCAUACGACCUACGGGUGAAAGCAGGGGAUCUUCGGACCUUGCGCGAUUGAAUGAGCCGAUGUCGGAUUAGCUAGUUGGCGGGGUAAAGGCCCACCAAGGCGACGAUCCGUAGCUGGUCUGAGAGGAUGAUCAGCCACACUGGAACUGAGACACGGUCCAGACCCCUACGGGAGGCAGCAGUGGGGAAUAUUGGACAAUGGGCGCAAGCCUGAUCCAGCCAUACCGCGUGGGUGAAGAAGGCCUUCGGGUUGUAAAGCCCUUUUGUUGGGAAAGAAAAGCAGCAGGUUAAUACCCCGCUGUUCUGACGGUACCCAAAGAUAAGCACCGGCUAACUUCGUG
rnacentral:rRNA from 1 species